rnacentral:snRNA from 1 species
AUAUUUACAUGGCAGGGGAGAUACCAUUAUCACAAAGGUGGUUUUUCCCAGGUUGAGUCUCAUCCAUUGCACUUCAGGUGUGCUGAUCCUGCGAUUUCCCCAAAGGUGGGAAACUCGACUGCAUAAUUUGUGGUAGUGGGGGACUGUGUUUGUGCUUUCCCCCU